rnacentral:rRNA from 1 species
UACGGGGGGGGCAAGCGUUGUUCGGAAUUACUGGGCGUAAAGGGCGCGUAGGCGGUGCUCUAAGUCGGAUGUGAAAACUCUGGGCUCAACCCAGAGCCUGCAUCCGAAACUGGAGUGCUAGAGUUCUGGAGGGGGUAGCGGAAUUCCUGGUGUAGCGGUGAAAUGCGUAGAUAUCAGGAGGAACACCGGUGGCGAAGGCGGCCCACUGGUCCGGUACUGACGCUGAGGUGCGAAAGCGUGGGGAGCAAACAGG